CUGCGAAUGGCUCAUUAUAUAAGUUAUCGUUUAUUUGAUAGUACCUUACUACUUGGAUAACCGUGGUAAUUCUAGAGCUAAUACAUGCUAAAAAUCCCGACUUCGGAAGGGAUGUAUUUAUUAGAUUAAAAACCAAUGCCCUCUGGGCUCUCUGGUGAUUCAUGAUAACUUCUCGAAUCGCACGGCCUUGCGCCGGCGAUGGUUCAUUCAAAUUUCUUCCCUAUCAACUUUCGAUGUUUGGGUAGUGGCCAAACAUGGUUGCAACGGGUAACGGAGGGUUAGGGCUCGACCCCGGAGAAGGAGCCUGAGAAACGGCUACUACAUCCAAGGAAGGCAGCAGGCGCGCAAAUUACCCAAUCCCGAUUCGGGGAGGUAGUGACAAUAAAUACUGAUACAGGGCUCUUUUGGGUCUUGUAAUUGGAAUGAGUACAAUUUAAAUCCCUUAACGAGGAACAAUUGGAGGGCAAGUCUGGUGCCAGCAGCCGCGGUAAUUCCAGCUCCAAUAGCGUAUAUUAAAGUUGUUGUGGUUAAAAAGCUCGUAGUUGAACCUUGGGCCUGGCUGGCCGGUCCGCCUCACCGCGUGUACUGGUCCGGCCGGGCCUUUCCCUCUGUGGAACCCCAUGCCCUUCACUGGGUGUGGCGGGGAAACAGGACUUUUACUUUGAAAAAAUUAGAGUGCUCCAGGCAGGCCUAUGCUCGAAUACAUUAGCAUGGAAUAAUGAAAUAGGACGUGCGGUUCUAUUUUGUUGGUUUCUAGGACCGCCGUAAUGAUUAAUAGGGACAGUCGGGGGCAUCAGUAUUCAAUUGUCAGAGGUGAAAUUCUUGGAUUUAUUGAAGACUAACUACUGCGAAAGCAUUUGCCAAGGAUGUUUUCAUUAAUCAGGAACGAAAGUUAGGGGAUCGAAGACGAUCAGAUACCGUCGUAGUCUUAACCAUAAACUAUGCCGACUAGGGAUCGGACGAUGUUAUUUUUUGACUCGUUCGGCACCUUACGAGAAAUCAAAGUG
rnacentral:rRNA from 1 species